UGGAAGGAGCCUCCUGCUUACACAUUUCGAGACUAUAGUGCUCUCCUAUAUAUGAAUGAUGACUUUGAAGGAGGAGAAUUCAUAUUCACAGAGAUGGAUGCUAAGACUGUGACUGCCUCUAUAAAACCAAAAUGUGGGCGCAUGAUCAGCUUCUCAUCUGGAGGAGAGAACCCUCAUGGGGUGAAGGCAGUCACCAAGGGAAAGAGGUGUGCUGUGGCUCUGUGGUUCACCUUGGACCCACUUUAUAGAGAAUUGGUGAGUUUCUCACCCGCCCAGAAAGCCAGUUAGGCUUGCUUCAUGAACUGCUUUAUCUGAGAAGUCCUUUAAAUUGCUUCAUCUGAGGAAAAGAAGAGGGUAAAGGCAGUUCUUAAUCAGAUAUGUUCUAGUAAGUGAAGAUGUUUGUAGAAAUAGCUAUGUCAAUGAUAUUUGAUAGUCACUAAUCUGUCUUGACCUUAUUAACAAAUUGUAAGGCUGGGCGCGGUGGCUCACUCCUAUAAUCCCAGAACUUUGGGAGACCGAGGCGGGCGGAUCACUUGAGGUCGGGAGUUCGAGACCAGCCUGAUCAACAUGCUGAAACCCCAUCUCUACUAAAAAUACAAAAUUAGCUGGAUGUGGUAGCAUGCGCCUGUAGUUCCAGUUACUCGGGAAGCUGAGGCAGGAGAAUCGCUUGAACCUGGGAGGCGUAAAUUGCAGUAAGCCGAGAUCGCACCACUGCACUUCAGCCUGGGCAACAGGGCAAGACUCUGUCUCAAAA
rnacentral:sRNA from 1 species